GUUAUAUGAUCAAGUGAAUAAGUGCAUACGGUGGAUGCCUUGGCAGUUAGAGGCGAUGAAAGACGUAAGAGCCUGCGAAAAGCUUCGGGGAGGUGGCAAAUAACCUUUGAUCCGGAGAUGUCUGAAUGGGGAAACCCACUGACCAUAAGGUCGGUAUCAUACACUGAAUACAUAGGUGUAUGAGGCGAACCUGGGGAACUGAAACAUCUAAGUACCCAGAGGAAAAGAAAUCAACCGAGAUU
rnacentral:rRNA from 1 species